AUACUUACCUUGUUCCAGUAUUCCGAGAUCAAGAAAACGGGAUACUAGUGUAGGGGGCCUGCAUUGCACAUCGCGGAGUCAGCCUGCACUCAAUUGUCCUUCGGGGCCAUUGGGGGCGUAAUUUUUGAUUCUUCCUGCUCUCAUUGUGGUCACGGU
rnacentral:snRNA from 17 species